AUGGCCUCGGACCAAACCCUCCCACUCCCACCGCUACUCCUCCCGUCCAACCCCAACCAGAUCCCGACCCCGACCCCGACCGCACCGCACCCGACCCCGUCCCCCGCCUCCGCCGCGCGCAAGCUCCCCAUCAAGCGCCGCUCCCCGCCGCGCCCCUCCUCCUCGCCCUCCUCCUCCGCCGGCGCCGCCUCCUCCGGCCAGGGCCAGAACCCGCCCUUCAAGUUCCAGCGCAUCUGGUCCGAGUCCGACGAGCUGCGCUUCCUGCAGGGCCUCCUCGGCUGCGGCGCGCAGGGCCUCGUCUUCCCGCGCGACCUCAACGUCUUCUACGACCGCUUCUCCGAGUCCAUGCCGCAGCCCUACACCCGCUCCCAGCUCUCCGAGAAGCUCCGCCGCCUCAAGAACAAGCACCGCAACGUCGCCUCCCGCGUCGCCAGGGGCCUCGACCCCGCCCGCCUCGCCCCGCACGACCGCGACGUCCUCCACCUCUGCUCCCGCCUCUGGGACCCCGCCAACGCCGCCACCUCGCCCUUCGCCGCCGCCGCCGCGCCCGCCAGCUCCUUGGGGAACAAGCGCCGCCGCUCCAACCCUGCCGUGGUGCCACCGCAGACGCUCGACGUCCCGGCCCCCUCGGGGGACAGCAACUCCCAUGGAUACAAUGGGAUCGGUUCCUCCACCCCUGGCGCCACCGCCUUCCCCGAUGAGAACGGCGCCGAGGAUGUGAUGUAUCUCGAGCAGGAGAGCGGGCAUCACCUCUAUUUCGACGACGGCGCUGCCUUUGUUGCCGACGGCAACCUUGAUGGGAUUACAUUGGACGGGAUUGCGCUGGACCAGGCUGAGACCAUGGCUGUUCUCACCGAUGUCGGUGACAAUGGAGUUGUUGCCGGUGACAAUGGGGUUGUUGGCAACGAUGCAGCUCCCCAAAAUGCUGUGAACAAUGGAGGUAACAGUCAGAACGGUAACUGCAAUGUAUUGCUGCCGCAUAGCAGCGAGCAUCGGAUGGCAAGGGCCGUGCUGGAUGUAUUUGAGGAGUGUUUGAGAGAGGCAAAGGCCGAUGGAAUAGUCAAUGGUGGCAAUGCCCAGGAAAGCGAACUCGCCAGGCGAUGGAGGGCGCAGAGGAUUGAUGAGCUUGAUGUGUUGAGCCGAAGGCUCAGGUUGAUCAUUGAGGAUGCUACUGCCGCUGGGCACUAA
rnacentral:rRNA from 1 species